rnacentral:rRNA from 1 species
UACGUAGGGUGCGAGCGUUGUCCGGAAUUAUUGGGCGUAAAGAGCUCGUAGGCGGCUUGUCGCGUCGGAUGUGAAAGCCCGGGGCUUAACUCCGGGUCUGCAUUCGAUACGGGCAGGCUAGAGUUCGGUAGGGGAGAUCGGAAUUCCUGGUGUAGCGGUGAAAUGCGCAGAUAUCAGGAGGAAUACCGGUGGCGAAGGCGGAUCUCUGGGCCGAUACUGACGCUGAGGAGCGAAAGCGUGGGGAGCGAACAGG